rnacentral:rRNA from 1 species
GACGAACGCUGGCGGCGUGCUUAACACAUGCAAGUCGAACGGAAAGGCCCUGCUUGCAGGGUACUCGAGUGACGAACGGGUGAGUAACACAUGGGUGAUCUGCCCUGCACUUCGGGAUAAGCCUGGGCGACUGGGUCUAAUACCGGAUAGGUGCCAUUUUUAUUGUGAUGGUUGGAAAGUUUUUUGGGUGUUGGGUGAGCUCGCGAGCUAUCAGCUUGCUGGUGGGGUAAUGGCCUACCAAGGCGGCUACGGGUAGCGGCCCUGUGGGGGUGGCCGGCCAUCCAGGGUCCUACGGGAGGCCGAGAUAGCUACGGGUGGGAGCUGGGGGGAAUCCUGCACAAGCGGCGCCACCCUGAUGCAGCGAGGCCUCGUGUCGGAUGACGCCCUUCGUGGUGUAAACCCCUUGCGCUAGGAACGAAGCUUUUUGUGACGGUACCUAGACAAGAAGCCCCGGCUAACUACGUG